CAGCUCUGAGCCAUGCAGCAUCCAUCUUAGAGGCGAGCGGAGCAUCUUCUCUCCUAAGUUGCAUCCUGCGAAAAA